rnacentral:sRNA from 1 species
CUGAAUAGCCUACAAUGUGAUUUUACCCCU